AUUGAACGCUGGCGGCAGGCCUAACACAUGCCAGUCGAGCGGAUGAAGGGAGCUUGCUCCUGGAUUCAGCGGCGGACGGGUGAGUAAUGCCUAGGAAUCUGCCUGGUAGUGGGGGAUAACGUCCGGAAACGGGCGCUAAUACCGCAUACGUCCUGAGGGAGAAAGUGGGGGAUCUUCGGACCUCACGCUAUCAGAUGAGCCUAGGUCGGAUUAGCUAGUUGGUGGGGUAAAGGCCUACCAAGGCGACGAUCCGUAACUGGUCUGAGAGGAUGAUCAGUCACACUGGAACUGAGACACAGUCCAGACUCCUACGGGAGGCAGCAGUGGGGAAUAUUGGACAAUGGGCGAAAGCCUGAUCCAGCCAUGCCGCGUGUGUGAAGAAGGUCUUCGGAUUGUAAAGCACUUUAAGUUGGGAGGAAGGGCAGUAAGUUAAUACCUUGCUGUUUUGACGUUACCAACAGAAUAAGCACCGGCUAACUUCGUG
rnacentral:rRNA from 1 species